rnacentral:RNase_P_RNA from 2 species
GCACCGUCGAAUGCCGUACUUCCUCGCUACACACACGGAAAGGAUAGAGGCCCUUGGGUUGAUAUCCUCUCUUUUCACGCGAGGGGGCUAAGGUCGGAGAAUCUCCCUCAUACAACUCGACUCAGUCGUGUUAGCUCUCGAAGGGCCUGGCCUUAACAGGCUUGUGACAGUAACAGAAAGACACGGUCCCUCCUGCAAAGGAUGACGGAUCUUGGGAGGCUGUCGCGGGGGUUGUUUGCUGAGAAGCAACUUCAGUGCAAUGUACGGCGUCUCAUCCUCGGAUGUGAUAACUCAAUUCCGACUAUUCUCGGGGGUGC